GUGGGGAAUAUUGGACAAUGGGCGAAAGCCUGAUCCAGCAAUGCCGCGUGAGUGAAGAAGGCCUUAGGGUUGUAAAACUCUUUCAGUCGUGACGAUGAUGACGGUAGCGACAGAAGAAGCUCCGGCUAACUCCGUGCCAGCAGCCGCGGUAAUACGGAGGGGGCUAGCGUUGUUCGGAAUUACUGGGCGUAAAGCGCACGUAGGCGGUGUAUCUAGUCAGAGGUGAAAGGCCUGGGCUCAACCUGGGAACUGCCUUUGAUACUGAUACGCUCGAGUCCGGGAGAGGGUAGCGGAAUUCCCAGUGUAGAGGUGAAAUUCGUAGAUAUUGGGAAGAACACCAGUUGCGAAGGCGGCUACCUGGCCCGGUACUGACGCUGAGGUGCGAAAGCGUGGGGAGCAAACAGGAUUAGAAACCCGGGUAGUCC
rnacentral:rRNA from 1 species